rnacentral:rRNA from 1 species
GAUGAACGCUGGCGGCGUGCCUAAUACAUGCAAGUCGAGCGAACAGACGAGGAGCUUGCUCCUCUGACGUUAGCGGCGGACGGGUGAGUAACACGUGGAUAACCUACCUAUAAGACUGGGAUAACUUCGGGAAACCGGAGCUAAUACCGGAUAAUAUAUUGAACCGCAUGGUUCAAUAGUGAAAGACGGUUUUGCUGUCACUUAUAGAUGGAUCCGCGCCGCAUUAGCUAGUUGGUAAGGUAACGGCUUACCAAGGCAACGAUGCGUAGCCGACCUGAGAGGGUGAUCGGCCACACUGGAACUGAGACACGGUCCAGACUCCUACGGGAGGCAGCAGUAGGGAAUCUUCCGCAAUGGGCGAAAGCUUGACGGAGCAACGCCGCGUGAGGGAUGAAGGUCUUCGGAUCGUAAAACUCUGUUAUUAGGGAAGAACAAAUGUGUAAGUAACGAUGCACGUCUUGACGGUACCUAAUCAGAAAGCCGCGGCUAACUACGUG